rnacentral:lncRNA from 1 species
CUUCACUCUGUACAUAGACGAUAAGCUUCCCCAAAUCAGGUCCUCUCUCGAAAUCCCUAAAGGCUAAAUUCGACACCAUUAAUUUUUGCUAGGUAAGUUUUUUUUACGCUUUUUUUAAUCUUUCCUGAAAAGUAUAGACGAAUUCUUCCUAGAGAAAUGGUGUUUAGGCGUCCGAGAUGUUGGCUCCGCUGGCCAUAGAUGAUUUUCUUUAUCUUCACAUUAGAAUAUUCAAAAGGACCGACUUUCUUUAUUUUCCUUUUCCUUGUUUUGUUCUAGUUCUUUCCCUUGUAUAUUUUUCUUACUUGUAUUUGUAGACAAGAUGAUGAAGGAAAGGUACUUAACUUUGUGAAUUCUUUAUACGGGUAUGGGCGAUAGUUUUGUUUUAAUCUUGUGAUGGCACCAACUCAAAUUUAAGGUCCAUCCUAUUCUACCUGUACUGUUGUAGUUACAUAUAUGUAUGUAAAUGGAUAUUUUGAACUACAUAUAUACUAGUACUUUCAAUACUCAAUAGUUUGCAUAGGCACACCCUUGCUAGAGCUAUAGAUACCGUUGGUGUAUAGAUAUAUGUCCUUGUAAAACAGAAAUUUUUUAUCUUCUUUUUGUCCUUCUCCAAGAUAAAUUAGCAGUAGUACCUAGUGCUGUAAUCUCUACUCAAUAAUGUUGUCUUGAAGCCCAAACCAAUGUUGUAAUAUCUACUCAAUGAUGUUGUCUUGAAGCCACAAACCAAGUUUUAUUUGGUGUCAUCUUCUCACUCGAGAACAGUUGGAGGAGCGGUAGGGUGGUAGCCGAAGCUUUGAAGAGGAUGUUCUAUUUCUGUAUCUUCCUUUCCGAACUUAUAAAACUUUAAUUAAGGACUUAAGUACUCCUAAGUCUUCAGGUUUACUCUGCCUCCAUUAUAAAAUUUUUCCCAUUCUAUUUCUUUUCUCUUCUUCGUUGUUUCUGCAUAGUUGUAUUUGCAAAUGAUGUUUGGACCAUGUUGAAAAUUUCGGAAUAGUCGUAUUUACAAAGGAAACUUUGCCAAAAAAUUUAAGAGUUUAGAGAGAAUGAAAAUUUUCGAGUUAUUAUCAAAUUGGUCAGUCAAUUACUUUGUGAUUCAAUUAUCAUAAAAAUAUUAUUUAAUUAUUUCUCAUUAUCUUUUGUAGGUACAGUAAUUGCGGAUGAAAGCAGUGGCGAAGACCUUACUUGAGUGUUGUUGUGGAAUGUUGUUAGGCUUUAUAUUAUGUUUAAGGAUAUUUUACUUUAGAACUUUUUGUAUGCAAACUCAUCUAUUUUGACUUUUGAAUUGUUUGACCAAAC